UACGAAGGGGGCUAGCGUUGUUCGGAAUCACUGGGCGUAAAGGGCGCGUAGGCGGCUUUAUAAGUCGGGGGUGAAAGCCUGUGGCUCAACCACAGAACUGCCUUCGAUACUGUAGAGCUUGAGACCGGAAGAGGUAAGUGGAACUGCGAGUGUAGAGGUGAAAUUCAUAGAUAUUCGCAAGAACACCAGUGGCGAAGGCGGCUUACUGGUCCGGUUCUGACGCUGAGGCGCGAAAGCGUGGGGAGCAAACAGG
rnacentral:rRNA from 1 species